rnacentral:rRNA from 1 species
CUGCAGUAUCCUGACUGUGCAAAGGUAGCGCGAUAAUUUGCCUUAUAAUUGAAGGAUGGUAUGAAUGGUUUGACUAGGGCAUAGCUGUCUCUUAUGUAUAGAUUAAAAGUUAACUUUUAGGUUAAAAGGCCUAAAUUUAAUUAAAGGACGAGAAGACCCUAUUGAGCUUUAUAAGGAUAUUUUAAUUGAUUUAUAUAAUGGAGUUUGCUUAUUGAUUUGUGAAUUUUAGUUGGGGCGACUUAGGAACAUAUGGAGCUUCCUUUGUAUAUUAGUUUGUGAAUUUGAUCCAGAUUAUUCUGAAUUAUGAACAAGUUACCAUAGGGAUAACAGCGUAAUUUUUUUUGAGAGUACUAAUCGAAAUUUAAGUUUGCGACCUCGAUGUUGGAUUAGGGAAAUGCAUAGGUUGCAGCAGCUUUUGUGGUUAGUCUGUUCGACUAUUUAACCCUACAUGAUCUGAGUUCAAACCGGA